UCGAUGACGUCUUUUGAUAUUCCAAUUUCUGCUUAUGUGAGUGAACAUGUGUAACACCCGAGCUUACGAGCGACCUGGAUUGUAUUAUUUGACAGUGAAGGAGGAAAAUUGAAAGGAACUGGAAUGUCAGUUGAAUCUGGUUCACCUUAUGUGUAUGGUGUCCUGGACAAUGGGUAUUCAUCUUUGCUUUUACUUGUCCUUCAUCUUCAUCGAAAUAGAAACUUGUAACCCAACAUCCUUGGUACAAAAAUCUUAGCAUACCCCUGAGAAAGGUAGAGAAAUUUACUUCUUAACACACUGCUGUGCUUCAUUCCUUCAUGUACAAUUGGUAAUUCUUGACUAUGCCUAACUUCAAUUUGGAUUUGAGGUAUUCUGAUUUCCAACGUGUCUGCAGCUACCGGUACGAUUUAUCAGUUGAAGAAGCUGCUGAACUGUCUAGAAGAGCAAUUUAUCAUGCAACAUUCUGAGACGAGUCUCAGGAACAAUCAUUUUAUCGUACUGUUGAGGUCUUGAGGACUCAUAAAAUAGGGACUUGGAGGUAAUUUUCUUGAACUUUUGAAGAAAUUGAAAGUUUAGAAUUAUUGAUUAAUUUUGCGGUUUCAUAACUACUCCUCUUACCACAUGACGAUUACCUAGCCAAUGUUUAGAUUUGUCUUUAUUCAAACUUUUUUUGUUUACCCUAGCAUUCUCCACUGGUUCGAUUGUUGUUGAGCAAUUUUUGGAUGUCAAUCAGACCUCUCCUUCGUCAAAAAUGAUCCGCUUAUCCCGAAAUGACCUAGCCCAAUAGGAAAAUCUCAAUUCAUUGGACUUUUUGAUACAAUCAAAUAGAAAGUCUCAAGGGCGCAAAAACAU